rnacentral:lncRNA from 1 species
GUGAGAUUCAGGGGGGAGCUCGGUCGCCUUAGUACCUUAUUUGAGGAGAAAUUCCAGGCAAACUUGUCAACCUCUACUGACCUAUCCUGGUGAACCUAGGCUGGCAUAGUCUUUUCUGAGAAGCAAAGAAAAGCGAAAACAGGGAAAGCAGCAAGAAGCCAGUGGCGGACAGCUCCCGCUCCACCAGCUGGAGGGCUGCCGGCAGAUCCAGUGUCAGUCCCC